rnacentral:tRNA from 1 species
GACUAACUCAGGCAACAUUGUUUUGAAAGCAACUUAAAGAGGUUCAAUUCCUCUAUUAGUCU